GGUCUCAUAGCUCAGUGGGAGAGCGCUCGCCUCACACGCGAGAGGUCGCUGGUUCGAACCCAGCUGGGACCA
rnacentral:tRNA from 1 species